rnacentral:misc_RNA from 1 species
ACGUGUGUAUGAGUGUGUAUGCGAGUAGAGAGAGUCAGAGACGGAUACUUGAUCUCGACGGGGCAGCGUGGCCAGGUCGGGGUCAGUUACCGGUGUUUGUGGAGGUGUUGGUGCAGCCGCGCAGUGGUCGGGACGGCCCCAUCCUGCACAGUGUGUCCCGGGUCCUCCUCGGCGGUGCUUGUGUGUUGUGCUCCUCGGUCCUCGGCCCUCGGUCCUCGGUCCCCGGUCCUUUCAGUGCCUUGUGUCUGUCUCCUCGCCUGAGUUGUGGCACUUCGGUUUGUGGUGCCCGGCUGGCGACCGUGUGCACCGCAUGUGAAUCGGAUCGCAUGCAGGCUCACCACUCUGUAUUUGUUGAGCAAAUAAAGCUUUGAUAAAAGACAUGUUAAUGACGAAAUAUGAUUCUAGUCAUUAGUAAAGACAUUUUCGUAUUACUAUCUCCAGCUUAGUGUGUUUUAGAAAUCUAGAUCAUUUAGAGGUGAUCUAGACGUGCUUGCGUUUGUUUAGGCCUAUCACUUAUCUUGUAUGAAAGUGAUUAGAACUUCUCGUGGACAUCGUGUCGCAUCUUUACUGUUAAUCAGAUCUAAAUCUCAAGCUUUGUGGUUUUGCAGAGAUACAGUAAUGUCAUAAAACAAAACUGGGUGCAAAAAAACGUCCUAAAAUUAGAUUUCGAGAGAAAGAGAGAUCGUGCGUGUGAAUCUAAAGCCGGUGGCCUCAGGUGGAGUGGAGUCCGAGCACCAUGGCGUUGCGAAGUUCGUGGAUGCCAGGGCUUAAGAACAGCAGAGACGAGAGAGACGCCAUCCAGAAGAAGACGUUUACGAAAUGGGUGAACAAACACUUAAAAAAGGUGAGCCGUGUGGUUAUUGGUACGACGAGGUACAAGUAGAAGGUUUGAGUUGUUUAAGCUACGUUUUUCAUUAAAUCUUUCGUGCCCUUAUUAGUCAUAUGCUAGUGGAGAGAAUAAUUAGAUGACUCUGAGGAUUUUCAUGUGGGUUGUUGACAAUCGCUAAUUACUGCAAGGGAAUAAUUACUGCUGGUGAGUAUUGGCGAUUAAUGUGUGCGUGGCUGUUACAAAUUACAAACUGAUUUUUCGACUUGGAUCCUCUUUUUAGAUACAUGUUUAAGGUUAUACCAUGCCAGUAAUGUUAGGGUCACAAAAACGUUAGCUGCUCUAAAUGUAUUAUUUGGCCAGAGGGUGUUGCAGUGUAUGAUUGCGGCAUCAUGGCACCUGUAAUGGAAUACCUCCGGUCAGUAUAGAAUGCAUUUGUGGAGGUUUUAGAAUGACCAUUUGAUUUUGUUCGAGGAACUAAUGGUGUUUCAAUUCAUGGAAAAUUAUAGAUAUCUUGGUUUGUUCACUUUCGUGGUUCCAGGUGGCCAUUCUUGCCGAUAAUCGGAAUUACAUCAAGUGAGUCUACAGAUUUGGCAAAACUUUUACCUUUAAGAACGCAUUGUGGCUGAAGCAUCAACUGUAGUACAAACGCCGGUCCUUCCCAGUAAACAAAAACAUUCCGUUCCCUAUGGCUUUGCGUCGAGUUUGAGGCUGUUUUCCCGAGGCACUGUUAUGAAUGUUACACCUCUUUCGAACGCUAUGCACUCUGCCUUCCUUUCCUUUGCAUGACACUUCACUAUUUCCUCAACUUGUCCGUUGUUGUGUCUUCGCGGGCAAGAUGUUUUCGUGCCUAAUCUGUCGGCGUGUGAGGCGAGGCCCUGACGUCUUGGUUCGGAACGUGUUGGUUCUCCCAAAGCAUAACGAGAGCGCGUUGCCGGCGGCCGCUUGGUAAAGUGGGAGACCCUUGAUUGGGAACCACUGCUGCAAGCUGAACGGGUUUUUGCCCGCCGCACCGAGGGAUGUUUCCUCAAUAAUACACUCCUGAAGGUCGACUCUGAAGGUGAUUCCAGGGCGACCACGCGAGAGGAACACCUGUGAUGCUAAAGGCUCCAUUUGAGUGUCGAGGGCGUUGUUUCAGACGCCUGGGUCGUGAGGUAUCCUGAGAAGACGGCAACAUGUAUCAGGGAGUGUCUUCGGAGCGAUGAGUAACUCUCUCCAAGGGGCAAGGCAAAGAGGAAAGACUUCCUUCAACGCUUCGAUGUCCUUAACCUCCCGGCAUCAGUUGGAGGUGCUGUCUCUCCCCCUUCUUACGGGCGCUCGGCGGGCGUGGCCGAACGGUGGCAAGUGUGACGGUGCAUCUGCGGUGUCAUACAGCACCGGAGGACAUUGCUGCGAUCCUUAUUGCUAUUAAUGUUCUGAAAACUGGUUGUGGCCCCAUAAAAACGACCGGCGGGCACUGUUGGAUGCACAAGUUUUUCCCCUAGUGGGCGGCGGGUGGAAGUAACCCACGGUUGCCGUAAGGGCGAUAACGCAGCCGAAGAGACAGCGGAUCACAGCCAUGAAGGCAGGUGGGAGGACCUUCGAUGCUCGGCCUGUUCACUAAAUUCUCACAUGCGUAAUUAUCGCGUCAUCUGGAAGAAUGGUGGGAUUGUUUUUUACUUGCUGUGCGGCAGAGAAUGGGAGGUGCUUAUAAGGGAAGGAUGAAUCAUGCUGUUCGCUCUAUCUCUACCUCGUGUGUGAAGGUGUGUGCGCGGCAAUAACAGAUAUUCAAUAUGUAACCACACGCACAGAGAGAGAACGAGAGCGAGAG